AAAGAGAGGCCGGGAGGCGGCGGGCGGCCGGCGCGCCCACUGCUCCCUCCCUCCUCCCUGGCCAGUCCCCGUCCUCUCGCGGCGGCUUUCCCUCGGUCCCCUCCGCCUCUCCUCCUUCCCUUCUCCGGCCUCCUCCCUCUUCUCGCCAGCCUCCCUCCUGGCCCUGCGCGCUCUCCCGUGCCUCUCCCUCCGCUCGUGUCAUUGUGUCAUUCUUUCUUUCCUCCUCGCUCCCGUCUCGGUACGUCUGUCCUUCCACUGCCGGCGUGUCCUCGUCCUCUGCGCUGGGGCGACGGGUCUUCGCGUCUUACUCUCUCUCUCCGCCGGCCCCCCUCCCUGUGUGUCCCCUGCCUGCUCCCGGGGCUCCAUCCUCCCCUUCUCCGGCCUCCUCCUUCCGCGUCUCCUCUCUCCUACACCUUCCCCAGGCAGGCUCUGCAGUUCCCGCUCCCUCUCGGCUCUCCCAGCCUCCCUCCCCUCGCUGAGGUUCGGUACCCCCGCCCCCCACUGGGGACUCGAAGGUGAAUCAGACCCAAACGUGCCCUUGCAGCGGGAGCUCACGGUGUGAUGGGAGAGACAGACCCAGCCGCAGACAGUCCCAUUCCGGGGUGAUGGGGUGUGACCGAGGGCGAGACCAGAGGCUGAGAGAGCCGGGGCGGAAGGAAUCCUCGCAGCAGGUCCACCAGGGGGGACCUCCAGAGAAGGCGUGGUUGUGGCGUGACCUCCAAGAACCAGAAGUUAGACCUGAAUUGUUGAGAGGGGCAGCAGUAAGGGCGUUCCAGGCCCAGGGCACAGCUUAAGCAAAGGCCCAAAGGCAGGAAACCAAGGUGAUUCCGGAGGACAACAAAGCAGUCAAGUCUGACUAGAGCGGUAGGGGCCGGGAGCCAAGGAGCGUAGAAGAAGCUGGGAUCCACCGUGAGUCUUGCAAUGUAUUCCCAGUGAUGAGGGCGACGACUGUUUGAAGACACAGAAGAGACAUUGGAAAGAAGACCACGUGAAGAUGCAGACUGAAGCGAGGCGUCUACAUGCCAUGGAGCAGAAAGGAUUCCUACCAGCCUCCUUGAUUUCCAAAUCCCAUCCUCCACAACUGUGGAAUAAGCAAGAAGGGCCAGUCCUGCUUCCACUUCUCAGUCUGGACACUGUGUAUUCGGGCUCUGGAAAUGCUACAGUGCACCGGAGGUGGUUUAGGGCAAAUGCUGUUCUCUGGACCCCACCCUGCCCCUCCCUGGGUCCCCCAGAUGGCACCACAGCUGAGCCUUCAGUAAGUCCUUCCCCCAUGACAUUGACUCAUUGGCUUCUGGGUGAUGGGACAUAAUUUCACUUCUCUGUCCUCCACAUUCGUUUCUGAUUCAGUGUGGGGGACCCUUGGGGCUCCUCCUUCAGCCGCCAUCACGGUAAAGAUAAGGGACUCUUCCAAGGUACCACAGAGGCUUUCUGACAUCUGCCACCUGUGUCUUGAGAUGGGAAUGCGAGGUCUGAGCUUAUCUUUCUUUCUUUCUGUACCAGGGAUUGAACUCAGAGGCACUCAACCACUGAGCCACAUCCCUAGCCCCUUUAUUUUAUUUAGAGACGGGGGUCUCACUGAGUUGCUUAGCAACUCACUUUUCCUGAGGCUGGCUUUGAACUCACGACCCUCCUGCUUCAGCCUCCAGAGCUGCUGGGAUUACAGGUAAGUGCCACCGUGCCAGGCCUUAUCUUUCUUUUUAUUGGUCUCCAAGUCGGUCAGAGGCAUACUGUAGGCCAUAUGGUCUUCAUGGUGGCCUUUGUCACCAAGGUGACUGAGUGUCACUUAAUCUCCCAGUACCUUGCCCUCUGUCUUAUUCCACCACUGGUAACAAUCUGAGCACUCACAACACACUAACAAUGACUAGGGGGCUAAACCGCAGGGUGGGUAUAAAGUAAGAGAAACAGUAAUAUAUCGGAGAUGCACAAAAAAAUUAAAGUGUUCUAAUGUCCUAUCUUGGAGAAGUUUAAAUAAAUUAGCUGCAGAUUGUUAAGUGUAUGCAUUAUAAUUUUAGGAUAACAAACAAAUUUAGAGUAUAAAAGUUCUGAACUAAUAGAAGAGAGAUUAAAUAGGAAGGAAAAAUUUUAGCCCAGCCACCCAAUCCUAGGCCAGAAGGGAGGAGGAAAUAAAAAGGGAAUCACUGAAAAUGGAGUAUUUAACCCCAAAUAUGUUAGUACUUGCAUUAAAUGUAGCAUAAGGGUUCUGUUAAAAUCAGUUUGCCAGGUUGAACCCCCCUCAAAAUCCAAAUGUACGCUUUUCACAGGACACAUCUAAAAUGUAAAGGUACAGGAAUGUUGGACUGAAAAGAUAACAGAGUGGCAAGUGGCCACCAGAGGAGCUGAGGGAUGUAGUAAGGUCAGCUAAAUAGACUGUAAAGAGGGUCGUGUCAGGGUUGGGGGUGUAGCUCAGGGGUAGAGGGCUUGCCUGGCAUGCACGAGGCCCUGGGUUCAAUUCCCAGCACCUCAAAAACAAAAACAAAAAAAAAGGUAGUAUCACAACAAUAAAAGUCUCAGCUCAUCAGGGUAUUAAAAUACUCAAUUGGUACACACUGAAUCGCAGCUCCCCAAAUGUAUAAAACAAAAGUUGACAGAACUUCAAAAAGAAAUAAAAAUCACAGUGGUGAGUUUUUAACAUAUUUCUCUUUAAUGAGUAAAUUGAACAUGAAAAAAAUCAGUGAAUAUAUAGAAAAUCUAAACAAUAUCAUUAAUAAAUUGAUGUAAGCAAAAGACAGACAUUGUACUCGUAACUGUCAGAUACGUACAUUAUUUUUAAUCUGUAAAUAUCCAUCAUCUUUCAUGUGUUAUUAAAGUUCAUGAGGACUAUUAUAAACAUUGACCAGAGACUGAGCCACAGAGAAAAAUCUCAACUUUAUUCACAAGGUUCACAGCAUAGAAAGUGUAUUUUAUGAACACUUUCCAGUUAAGGUAGAAAUUUUAAAAGAUGAUUGGAUCUUGAAGGUUUGGAAAUUAAUAAAUCACUUUAGAAAUUCUUGGGUCAGCUAUGCAGUCAUAUUGGAGACUAGAAAACAGUUUGAGGGUAUUAAUAGCUUAAAAUGCUUAUUAUUGGAAGACAAAUAAGCCAGAUUAAAUUAGGCAUUUCUUCUCAAGGGAUAAAUAAAAAUAAAGUAGAAAGAAAUAAUAAGUAAAUAAUAAAAAUUUUAAAACCCAUAAACCAGAAUCAACAGAGCUCUUUUCUUUGAAAGAGUAAUAAAUUGAUAAACCUCUAGUGAGUCUAAUCUCAAUGAAAAGAUAGAAGGCACAUUUGGCUAAUGUCACGAACAUAAAAGGACAUAGCCACAGAUAUUGCAUGCAUUGAAAAAUAAGAAAAUAAUGUUUUAAACAAUUUUAUAUAAAUGCCUUUGAAAUUUAGAUUAAAUGUAUAAGUUUUCUAAAAUAGAUAGACAUGAAUUUCUGAAGUAUUUAGGACAACAACGUCAGAAAAAUACAGAAAACCUGAAUGGUUUUAUAACUGUAGAGAAGAAUCAGGUAAAAAUCAUCUCACAAGGAAAACUCUAGGUCCCAAGGGUUUAACCAGCAAAUCGUAUCAAAACUCAAGGGAGAAACAAAGAAUCCCUUCUUCUCCAAAUGCUUUGCUUAUUUUUGGAGGCUAAUGUGAAAUUUAUACCAAAACUCAACAGAAGUUAAUCAGGCAAAUAUGGUGUGAAUAGUAAACCAAAAUUAGCAAGUUAAAUUGAUUUAAAUAUCAAUAGGUGAAUACGUCAUAGCAGAAAUGUAUUUGCUCAGGUGGGUGUGGUGGUAAUUUUCAUUGGCCUAUAAUCCCAGUGGCUCCGGAGGCUGAGGCAGGAGGAUUGCAAGUUCAAAGCCAGCCCCAGCAACUUAGUGAGGCCCUAAAGAACUUAGCAAGACUCUAUGUCUAAAUGUAAUAUAAAAAAAGGCUGGAGGAGCGGCUCACUGGUUAAGGACCCCGGGGUUCAAUCCCCAGGUACCAAAAGAAAAAUGUUUUUGCUCAGUCUUAUCAGGCACACUUCAGGUGCUCAAAAGCGACCUGCGGUCAGUGGCCACAGCACUGGACAGCAGAGAGAACAUGGCCAUCAUUGUAAAAAGCACUACUAGACACUCUAUACAUGAGAAUCAUGGAGCUAUGGAGCAAAACAGUAAAACUCACACAGAGCAAAAAUGGGGAAAAGGCAUUCUCUGACAAUAGACCAAAGAGAAAAUCAAAAUCAGUAUUGCAGAAUACCUAGAAGAAAAUGUAUCAAGCAACAAUAGAAUACAGUAAUCUCCACUGCUAAAGAAACGUCAGUCAUUGGCAGUAGUGGUGAGACCCGGAAGUCUACGCGUGAAUCCUCAGAGCGAGGCAGAGUCCCACAGGGGCCAUUGCUCUGCAAGUGCCAGGAAAGGUACCUGGACAGGAAAUGAAGGUGCAGUAUAAAUAAGAGCCACGAAAAGACGGGACUGUCAACUUUCACAGACAAUAUGAUCAUCUACCUAAAAAACCCAAGAAUUUACAGAAAAAUCUUAGAAUUCAUAACCAAGUUGUUUGAAUUAGCAGACACAGCUCUGCAUACUAAUCAGGAUCUUAUAAUGAAUCAACAAGUAGAAUUCGAUCCCUGUCUCACACCAUACACAAAGCCAUUCCAGAUGGGGUCACAUGAUUUUGAGAUGAUUUAAAUAUAAAUUAUUUUGCAUUGAAAUUUUCCAUGGUUAAUUUUUUAGGUCAUUGAUUUUCAUAAAUUAAUUUUACAUCAACUUGGGGUGAUUUGCAAGUCUGGACCUUUGUGUUUGCCACAACUGGGUGAGGGCAAGGGUGCUCCUGGUGUCUACUGCGUGAAGCCAGGGGUGUGCUAGGCACCCUACCAUGUACAGGGCAUCCCCCUCUCCCCCACAACCAAGUACUGUCCAGUUCCAAUGGCAACAAUGCUGAAUUAAAAACUCUGC